GUCUCUGUGGUGCAGUGGUUAGCAUGAUCGCUUUAUACGCGAAAGACUUGGGUUCGAUUCCCAGUGGAGGCA